rnacentral:rRNA from 1 species
CCUACGGGAGGCAGCAGUGAGGAAUAUUGGUCAAUGGGCGCGAGCCUGAACCAGCCAAGUCGCGUGAGGGAAGACGGUCCUAUGGAUUGUAAACCUCUUUUGUCGGGGAGCAAAAGACGCCACGCGUGGCGUUCCGAGAGUACCCGAAGAAAAAGCAUCGGCUAACUCCGUGCCAGCCGCCGCGGUAAUACGGAGGAUGCGAGCGUUAUCCGGAUUUAUUGGGUUUAAAGGGUGCGCAGGCGGAAGAGCAAGUCAGCGGUAAAAUUGAGAGGCUCAACCUCUUCGAGCCGUUGAAACUGGUUUUCUUGAGUGAGUGAGAAGUAUGCGGAAUGCGUGGUGUAGCGGUGAAAUGCAUAGAUAUCACGCAGAACUCCGAUUGCGAAGGCAGCAUACCGGCGCUCAACUGACGCUCAUGCACGAAAGUGUGGGUAUCGAACAGGAUUAGAUACCCUGGUAGUC